rnacentral:piRNA from 1 species
UGGGUGUUUCCUAAAGGUGUUUUAGUCU